AAGACAGGAGAGUUUCUAUCUACUACACUCUGGAACAAAGACAUAAGAAACGGCUUUUCAUUUCGCCUGACGACCCCAAAAACGUGACCAAAAAUGGCCAAACAGCUUGAAGGAGAAAGUUAGCGACGCUUCCAGACUAGUGGAGGGUUGGCCACACAACUGCGCCAUCCCAGACAGAGUAUCCUUAACUAUUGUUAUCAUCAUUGAAAUGGGAGCUGAAGGACAAGGCUGCUGCUGACGAUGUUGAAGUGACAGGUACAGGGGGGAGGGGGUGCCCUGUGCUUUUUGGGAGAGCUCUUUUUUGGGAGGACUUGUGGGCUGGCUGGCAUGGAAAGUAAAAGUUUAGUCUCGGCACACACCAGUUCCUCCAUUUUCUCUGAAAAUUCCAUAUGUGGGGAGGGAUUAUAUUGAGAGAGAUAGGGUGGAGGAUGAGAGGGGUGUCUGUGGUUACUCUUGUCCAGUGUCAGAAAUUCUACCUGAGUCAUGGUCUUUAGUAGCGGGGAUAGUGGUUGCUCUGAGCUGUCUGUAUGCUGUUUCUUUACCUGUGGCGAUGUUUAAUGGUUCUUCAUCAUGGUCAGAGGCAGGUGGCGAAGGCUGUGGUUGCACACAUAGUGUUAAAUUAAUGCAAGAGGCAGAUGGGUGGCGAAGAGCAAAGAAAAAGGUUGUCUUUAAGUGCUUUCAUUCCAGACCUGCUCAAAUUCUCUGCACCUCUAGAAUAGAUACAAAUUGUCAAUAUAAUUCUUAUUCUGCAGGUUCUGCCCAUCCAUGUGUUGAGGCUGAGCCGUGGGGAAAAUAUGACUUCCUCAGGCUGGAAGAGGCCCAACAUUUGAGCUGUCAGAUUCUCAAGUGUGUUAAACAGUUCAGUAAAGUCCUUUUUAAGGAUUUAUGACUCUUCUCUGCAAAUGUCAUUUUUUGCCGAUAUGCAGAAUCAUUUGAUCGACCAUCCGGUGUUGGGACAGAAUGUUGGGAAGCUCAUCAUUUAAUUGGUUUUGUAUAAUUACAUUGAAUGAUUUAAAUGAUAUACAUGCACGUGUACCAAAGCAUAGGUCAAAACAUUGCUAAAUUUGGCUAAUUGUAAAAAUGAUCUGGUUCACUAAAGAGAGAUGUAAUUUCUAUCUCUAACAGGCAAUUGCUAGCAGACCAAAUACAGCAAUGCUCUUUUCUCUGAAGGACAUUUGCUUAAGUUUCUUAAUGCAGUGUUUCCCAACAGAGGGUACGUGUAUUCCUAGGGAUACUUGAGCAGCUUGCAGGGGCUACGUGGAAAAACUGGGGAUUGUAAUUUGAGAAAAUAUUUCAAGCCCAUUGCUAAGAUGGUAUGUGUGUGUCACAACUAGUUCCCCUCUUACAGACGUCAACUGUUAUACUACUCUGUGAAGAGGUCAUGUUCACGAAUGUCACAACUGGGCGCAAACCAGUAGACCAAUAAUUCAUGGCAUAGUCAGUCAGAGUAGGCUUAGUGAAUGCUUUUAGCAUUAAAGUUCAAAUCCGAGUCUCGUCGUUUCGGAUAACCUACAAUAAAUAAUGACAUAUCCAAUACACAUUUCAGGCAACAACGACGAUAAGAAACCUCUUAAGCGGUCAUUGCCGACAGAUGCCAAACAGUCUUUGACUGAAAAUGAAGCCGAAUUGAUGGUGAUACACAGCUGCUUUGAAAGAUAAUAAGCGAAACCAUGCCCAAAUGAGCUAUGCUUCGCUGUUGUACAGAGACAACGGGCUGCCUCGCUAAACGAUGCACACCUGUAACUCACGUGACCCUGGUUAUAAUUUAAUCGAGAACGAGGGCGUAGUGCCUUUAUAAGACUGCGUCAAUGGUCCCGUGGAGUUAUCCCUUCUGUUGAUGUUUAUUGAUUGUCAAACAUGGCUUCAUUUGCAAAGGUGGUUGUGUGUGUCCUCAUUGCUUGUGUCUGUAAUGCAUUCGGUUUUCCGAAGAGAGAUGUGAACUUUAAGGCCUCUGCAGUUGACCGCCAAAGUGAUGAUGUGGUUGUCA